CGAAGCAAUGGCCGCUGCCGCGCCCAGGUCGUCGGCCGGCAAAAGGCCCCCUGCACCGGGACCCGAUGUUGCGGGCAAAAGGGAAGAGGGGCGGCGCAAGGGCGGCGCACGGUCGUAAAGCGCGACGACUCGCUGGGCGGCACGACCCAAGCGGCGCGCGUAAUUGGCCACAUACCGAUCCAGUCGGUCGCGAUAAGCGUCCACGUCAUCUUCCCUGUUUGCAAACGCGGAUCGCAUCGCAUUUCGAUGGUCGAUAUUGCCCCUGUGGUACGCAUACAGGCGUAUGGCCUGAUCGGCAGUGUCCUGGGCGCGCUGGCGCUCGGUCGCACGCCACAGGCGGUCCGCUUCGGCCGGCGACGCUUCGGCCGGCGACAGUCCGCCGGCGCCCAGGGCAAACUCCUGCCCGGUGUGGCUCAUAUACGCCCGGGGCUGACGCGCUGCGUUGUAGGGCAGAAUUUGCGCGCGCUCGUCGGGACUGUAGCCCGCGGCGAGCAGGGGCACGAGCGCCGCCUCGAGGUCGCCAUACAGGUCAUAGUCCUCGUCGGCCCGAAAGACGGAACCUUGCUCCAGGGUGACGCGCGCCACCGACAGAGGAUUGGCGUCGAGCGGAUGCAGCCGCCGCGAGCGGCCGAACCGGCGGAGGAGGACGCGCGCGGUGCCCGGCGCGUCAAUGCGCCUCGCGCUGCCGUCCGGCUGCCGGUAGUCGACCGUAAUGAGGCGACCGAGGGCCUCGUUGAGCAGGGCCUCGCGCGUGGGCCACGGCUGCGCGCCCGCGUCGAUCAGGGCCUCGACCGAGCGCGGCGCGCCGCUCCGCACCGCUAUGCCCAGCAGCGUGUUGCGCAGGGGCUGGCGCGUGACCACCCGCGGGAGAUCGUCCAGCCGGGCGGCGCGAUCGCCCGGUUCUUCGCUCAACUCGAGCACGUGCACGACCCGCCCGCGCACCUCUGGAUCGUCCACGAUGUACGAGCCACCGCCAUCGACCAGGUCGUUGACGUCGACACGACCUUGCGCGAGAAUGCGCCUGAUGGCGGCGUCGUCUUGAUCGAUGAUGGCUUCGAUGAGCGCGUCGGUAUCGGCCUCGCGUCCCGGCACGCAGCCGUCGCUCGUGCUCUGGCCGAUCGCUCGGAUCUGCUCUUGGGGUGGAAACAGCGGCGCCGCUGCCAAGUCUCUCGGCACCCGUGCG
rnacentral:lncRNA from 1 species